rnacentral:rRNA from 1 species
GACGAACGCUGGCGGCGUGCUUAACACAUGCAAGUCGAACGGAAAGGCCCUGCUUGCAGGGUACUCGAGUGGCGAACGGGUGAGUAACACGUGGGUGAUCUGCCCUGCACUUCGGGAUAAGCUUGGGAAACUGGGUCUAAUACCGGAUAGGAGCCAUCUUUAGUGUGGUGGUUGGAAAGUUUUUUCGGUGUAGGAUGAGCUCGCGGCCUAUCAGCUUGUUGGUGGGGUAAUGGCCUACCAAGGCGGCGACGGGUAGCCGGCCUGAGAGGGUGUACGGCCACAUUGGGACUGAGAUACGGCCCAGACUCCUAUGGGAGGCAGCAGUGGGGAAUGUUGCACAAUGGGCGCAAGCCUGAUGCAGCGACGCCGCGUGGGGGAUGAAGGCCUUCGGGUUGUAAACUCCUUUCGCUAGGGACGAAGCUUUUUUGUGACGGUACCUAGAUAAGAAGCACCGGCUAACUACGUG